rnacentral:miRNA from 1 species
GGUUUCUUUUUUUCUUUUUC